GAUGAACGCUGGCGGCGUGCCUAAUACAUGCCAGUCGAGCGAAUGGAUUAAGAGCUUGCUCUUAUGAAGUUAGCGGCGGACGGGUGAGUAACACGUGGGUAACCUGCCCAUAAGACUGGGAUAACUCCGGGAAACCGGGGCUAAUACCGGAUACCAUUUUGAACCGCAUGGUUCGAAAUUGAAAGGCGGCUUCGGCUGUCACUUAUGGAUGGACCCGCGUCGCAUUGGCUAGUUGGUGAGGUAACGGCUCACCAAGGCAACGAUGCGUAGCCGACCUGAGAGGGUGAUCGGCCACACUGGGACUGAGACACGGCCCAGACUCCUACGGGAGGCAGCAGUAGGGAAUCUUCCGCAAUGGACGAAAGUCUGACGGAGCAACGCCGCGUGAGUGAUGAAGGCUUUCGGGUCGUAAAACUCUGUUGUUAGGGAAGAACAAGUGCUAGUUGAAUAAGCUGACACCUUGACGGUACCUAACCAGAAAGCCACGGCUAACUACGUGCCAGCAGCCGCCGUAA
rnacentral:rRNA from 1 species